rnacentral:rRNA from 1 species
UACGAAGGGGGCUAGCGUUGUUCGGAUUUACUGGGCGUAAAGCGCACGUAGGCGGAUCGUUAAGUCGGGGGUGAAAUCCUGGAGCUCAACUCCAGAACUGCCUUCGAUACUGGCGAUCUUGAGUCCGGAAGAGGUGAGUGGAACUCCUAGUGUAGAGGUGGAAUUCGUAGAUAUUUAGGAAGAACACCAGUGGCGAAGGCGGCUCACUGGUCCGGUACUGACGCUGAGGUGCGAAAGCGUGGGGAGCAAACAGG